rnacentral:rRNA from 1 species
GGUGCGGAGGGAUCAUUACUGAGUUUACGC